rnacentral:rRNA from 1 species
UGGCUUAGAAGCAGCCACCCUUUAAAGAAAGCGUAAUAGCUCACUAGUCGAGUCGGCCUGCGCGGAAGAUGUAACGGGGCUCAAACCAUACACCGAAGCUACGGGUGCAUCGCAAGAUGUGCGGUAGAGGAGCGUUCUGUAAGCCUGUGAAGGUGAGUUGAGAAGCUUGCUGGAGGUAUCAGAAGUGCGAAUGCUGACAUGAGUAACGACAAUGGGAGUGAAAAACUCCCACGCCGAAAGACCAAGGGUUCCUGCGCAACGUUAAUCGACGCAGGGUUAGUCGGUCCCUAAGGCGAGGCUGAAGAGCGUAGUCGAUGGGAAACAGGUUAAUAUUCCUGUACUUCUAGUUACUGCGAUGGAGGGACGGAGAAGGCUAGGCCAGCUUGGCGUUGGUUGUCCAAGUUUAAGGUGGUAGGCAGAGAUCUUAGGUAAAUCCGGGGUCUUAAUGCCGAGAGCUGAUGACGAGCGUUCUUUUAGAACGUGAAGUGGUUGAUGCCAUGCUUCCAGGAAAAGCUUCUAAGCUUCAGGUAACUAGGAACCGUACCCCAAACCGACACAGGUGGUUGGGUAGAGAAUACCAAGGCGCUUGAGAGAACUCGGGUGAAGGAACUAGGCAAAAUGG